UACAGAGGGUGCGAGCGUUAAUCGGAGUGACUGGGCGUAAAGGGCACGUAGGCGGUUAUAUUAGUCUGAUGUGAAAGACCUGGGCUUAACCCAGGAUGUGCAUUGGAAACGGUAUAGCUAGAGUAUGGGAGAGGGAAGUGGAAUUUCCGGUGUAGCGGUGAAAUGCGUAGAGAUCGGAAAGAACACUCGUGGCGAAGGCGACUUCCUGGCCCAACACUGACGCUGAGGUGCGAAAGCAUGGGGAGCAAACAGG
rnacentral:rRNA from 2 species